CAGCCGCCACGGUAAUACAGAGGGUGCGAGCGUUAAUCGGAUUUACUGGGCGUAAAGCGUGCGUAGGCGGCUUUUUAAGUCGGAUGUGAAAUCCCUGAGCUUAACUUAGGAAUUGCAUUCGAUACUGGGAAGCUAGAGUAUGGGAGAGGAUGGUAGAAUUCCAGGUGUAGCGGUGAAAUGCGUAGAGAUCUGGAGGAAUACCGAUGGCGAAGGCAGCCAUCUGGCCUAAUACUGACGCUGAGGUACGAAAGCAUGGGGAGCAAACAGGAUUAGAUACCCGCGUAGUCCCUGUCUUUAUACA
rnacentral:rRNA from 1 species